UGGCGGACGGGUGAGUAAUGUCUGGGAAACUGCCCGAUGGAGGGGGAUAACUACUGGAAACGGUAGCUAAUACCGCAUAACGUCGCAAGACCAAAGAGGGGGACCUUAGGGCCUCUUGCCAUCGGAUGUGCCCAGAUGGGAUUAGCUUGUAGGUAAGGUAACGGCUUACCUAGGCGACGAUCCCUAGCUGGUCUGAGAGGAUGACCAGCCACACUGGAACUGAGACACGGUCCAG
rnacentral:rRNA from 1 species